rnacentral:rRNA from 1 species
ACACGACUACAUUAGAUACCCCCGUAGUCCUAGCCGUAAACGAUACUCGCUAGGUGUCGGCCACGGUGCGACCGUUGUCGGUGCCGUAGGGAAGCCGUGAAGCGAGCCACCUGGGAAGUACGGCCGCAAGGCUGAAACCUUAAAGGAAUUGGCGGGGGAGCACAACAACGGGUGGAGCUUGCGGUUUAAUUGGAUUCAACGCCGGAAAUCUUACCGGGACCGACAGCAACAUGAAGGCCAGGCUGAAGACUUUGCCGGAUUAGCUG